UUCCCAAUGGUUCUUUUUUUGGCACUGUCCAUGUUCUCUUGCCUGUGCCACUCCGCUAGGCCUAGACAAGGAACGAGGACAUCAGUGUUACGUGUGAUUUCUCAGGAUCCUCGCCUUUUGAAGAUCAGUCCACUGACAGUAGUGAUGAGAGAAUCACAUGUACUGCUACUAGAGGAUUCCCAAGAACCAAGCUCAGGAGAAGUGCGCUUAAGUUCCAGAGAGGAAACAUGAUGACUGAUCUUAA